ACGCCAUGGUGUGGACAUUCCAUCUGCAGGUCCUUAUAUCUUUCCAAUGCAUCAUAGAGUGAUUCACUUUCCUUUUGUCUUAAGGUGUUGAGCUCAAGCUUCAGUCU